rnacentral:lncRNA from 1 species
ACCAUCUAUAAAGCCUGGGUCCACAAGGCCCUGGCAGGGCUGAGAGGCCUGCUGUUGUGCUGCAGAAGAGGCCAGAAACAUCUCCAGCCAGUCUGCCUGUUGCUGCCUCUGGGACUCCUUGUGAGUAGACUGCAGCCCCAGGCCCUUUCCAUCUGGGUGUGACUCAGCACUUCCUAGGAAGGACCAUCUAUAAAGCCUGGGUCCACAAGGCCCUGGCAGGGCUGAGAGGCCUGCUGUUGUGCUGCAGAAGAGGCCAGAAACAUCUCCAGCCAGUCUGCCUGUUGCUGCCUCUGGACUCCUUGCCUACUGCCCCCCUCCCUUUUUCCCAGCGCUGGGCUACAUGGCUGAAAAAGUUUGAGAACUCCUGCUCUGUACUAUAGAUCAGAUGUGAAGAAAGAGCACUGAGUUGAUUUAUUCAGUUCAGCUGAAAAGGAUGACACCCGUGAUCGUUCGUCAGGAAGCCAUAACAUGCAACACAGAGCAUCAACCUUUAUAAUACAGAAAACAGGUAGGUGCGAUUUGAAGUUCGCGCCACUCAUUCCCCCGCCCACCUGUGCGCUGAUUGG